rnacentral:rRNA from 1 species
AACGAACGCUGGCGGCAGGCCUAACACAUGCAAGUCGAGCGAAGCCUUCGGGCUUAGCGGCGGACGGGUGAGUAACGCGUGGGAACGUGCCCUUUGGUACGGAAUAGCCCCGGGAAACUGGGAGUAAUACCGUAUGUGCCCUUCGGGGGAAAGAUUUAUCGCCAAAGGAUCGGCCCGCGUUGGAUUAGGUAGUUGGUGGGGUAAUGGCCUACCAAGCCGACGAUCCAUAGCUGGUUUGAGAGGAUGAUCAGCCACACUGGGACUGAGACACGGCCCAGACUCCUACGGGAGGCAGCAGUGGGGAACCUUAGACAAUGGGGGAAACCCUGAUCUAGCCAUGCCGCGUGAUCGAUGAAGGCCUUAGGGUUGUAAAGAUCUUCCAGUGGGGAAGAUAAUGACUGUACCCACAGAAGAAGCCCCGGCUAACUCCGUGCCAGCAGCCGCCGCUG